rnacentral:ncRNA from 1 species
GGGUGGCUGAAUUAGAGAUCGGCGCCUGUUUUUUAUAGUCAAAAUAGAAGUGGAGUUUAGAAUGUCUCUAAGCGUUGAAGCAAAAGCUAAAAUCGUUGCAGAGUAUGGUCGUGGCG